AAGCAUUGGUGCUGUGCGCGUGCUAAAUCGAUUUCUGUUAAGUGUUGCAAACCUGCUAAUUUAUAUAUCUUGUUUGUGUCAAUUUGACAGCUACAUUG
rfam:Picea glauca, whole genome shotgun sequence.